UACGUAGGGACCAAGCGUUGUUCGGAUUUACUGGGCGUAAAGGGCGCGUAGGCGGCUUAACAAGUCACUUGUGAAAUCUCCGGGCUUAACUCGGAACGGCCAAGUGAAACUGUCAAGCUAGAGUGCAGAAGGGGCAAUCGGAAUUCUUGGUGUAGCGGUGAAAUGCGUAGAUAUCAGGAGGAACACCGGUGGCGAAGGCGGUGAUCUGGGCCGACACUGACGCUGUAGAGCGAAAGCGUGGGGAGCGAACAGG
rnacentral:rRNA from 1 species